rnacentral:rRNA from 1 species
UCCAGAGGUCCCAAGCGUUGUUCGGAUUCAUUGGGCGUAAAGGCUGCGUAGGUGGCGCUGUAAGUCGGGUGUGAAAUUUCGGAGCUUAACUCCGAAACUGCAUUCGAUACUGCGGUGCUCGAGGACUGGAGAGGAGACUGGAAUUCAUGGUGUAGCAGUGAAAUGCGUAGAGAUCAUGAGGAAGACCAGUGGCGAAGGCGGGUCUCUGGACAGUUCCUGACACUGAGGCACGAAGGCCAGGGGAGCAAACGGG